UGCAUAAUGUAGUUCCGUCAAGUGGUCAUGCGAUUGUUGGGUGUGGCAGCUGCAGUGCUUUAGUGUCGUCUUGGAUGUCUCUGAAUCAACCCGCUUCAAACCUAACUGACUUCCAUUUGUGGCUUCGUUCCGAAAAGUGCAAACUUCUACGAUGAUGAGAUCAACACACUGCAGGUGGGUGAGGUCUGAGUGUGGAUGGGUGACCCAAAGUACCAUGGCUGCACAAUCUGAAGCAGCCUGCCAGACUGAUGUCCCUACCACGAUGCAACAGGAGGCACAGGUACCCACCCCCUCAGCUGCAACAGAUUCCCCACAACGAACUGGAACCAUCGGAAAAAUU